rnacentral:rRNA from 1 species
UACGAAGGGGGCUAGCGUUGCUCGGAAUCACUGGGCGUAAAGCGCACGUAGGCGGAUUGUUAAGUCAGGGGUGAAAUCCUGGAGCUCAACUCCAGAACUGCCUUUGAUACUGGCGAUCUCGAGUCCGGGAGAGGUGAGUGGAACUGCGAGUGUAGAGGUGAAAUUCGUAGAUAUUCGCAAGAACACCAGUGGCGAAAGGCGGCGCUGCCGU